GCCCUGAUGGUUUAGCGGUUAAGACUCAGUGCUGUCACCCCCGAGGCCCAGGUUCAUUUCCCGGUCAGGGAA
rnacentral:tRNA from 1 species